UGGCGGCCGUAGCGCGGUGGUCCCACCUGACCCCAUGCCGAACUCAGAAGUGAAACGCCGUAGCGCCGAUGGUAGUGUGGGGUCUCCCCAUGCGAGAGUAGGGAACUGCCAGGC
rnacentral:rRNA from 17 species